GGAGAGAUGGCCGAGUGGCUGAAGGCACCGGUUUGCUAAACCGGCGUAUGGGGGAUUCCCUGUACCGAGGGUUCGAAUCCCUCUCUCUCCGCCA
rnacentral:tRNA from 2 species